rnacentral:rRNA from 1 species
UACGUAGGGUGCGAGCGUUGUCCGGAAUUAUUGGGCGUAAAGGGCUCGUAGGCGGUUUGUCGCGUCGGAAGUGAAAGCCCGGGGCUCAACCCCGGAAUGUCUUUCGAAACUGCUGAGCUAGAGUGCAGAAGAGGCAACUGGAAUUCCCAGUGUAGCGGUGAAAUGCGUAGAUAUUGGGAAGAACACCUGAGGCGAAGGCGGGUUGCUGGGCUGACACUGACGCUGAUGCGCGAAAGCUAGGGGAGCGAACGGG